rnacentral:rRNA from 1 species
GACGAACCGAGCGAACGUUGUUCGGAAUCACUGGGCUUAAAGGGCGCGUAGGCGGGCUGUCAAGUUUGGGGUGAAAUCCCGCGGCUCAACCGCGGAACUGCCUCAAAUACUGACGGUCUCGAGGGAGGUAGGGGCGAGCGGAACUAAUGGUGGAGCGGUGAAAUGCGUUGAUAUCAUUAGGAACUCCGGUGGCGAAGGCGGCUCGCUGGACCUUUUCUGACGCUGAGGCGCGAAAGCUAGGGGAGCAAACGGG